rnacentral:rRNA from 1 species
UACGGAGGGUGCAAACGUUGCUCGGAAUCAUUGGGCGUAAAGCGCACGUAGGCGGCUCGUUAAGUCGGAUGUGAAAGCCCCGGGCUCAACCCGGGAAGUGCAUUCGAAACUGGCGAGCUUGAAUAUGGAAGAGGGUCGCGGAAUUCCCGGUGUAGAGGUGAAAUUCGUAGAUAUCGGGAGGAACACCAGUGGCGAAGGCGGCGAUCUGGGAAGUUACUGACGCUGAGGUGCGAAAGCGUGGGGAGCAAACAGG